UCGACCCGCACUGCUCGGAUAAACAAAUUGUUGUUCAGAUUAUAGCAAGAGCUCCAAGACGAUCGGAUUAAGGUUUUACUGUAUUGCAGUGAAUCAAAGUAACCAAUGAACAGUACUGGGUGAAACAUAAAUUUGUUGAAGCUGGCUGACUGAACAACAAUCAUUGGCCAGUGUCGGCAGCAUGAAAAUUCCCAACCUUUAAAAGUUACCGGUUGAUUAAAAAGCACAGGGAUAUCUUAAUCAAGAAAGGUCUUAAGCGAGAGCAUUAAUAUUUAAAGAGCUAUUCGUACCGUGGUUCUUUGCAACAUGUAUCAAACUAUCUAUAACCUGUUUUCGCUUUUUCAAGCUGGAUGUCUGGAUUUUAGUCUCUAAAUCCUUUAUGACCCGCUCAACCUGCAAAUAUAUUUAUGUUAGUUAA